GACGAACGCUGGCGGUGUGCUUAACACAUGCAAGUGGUGCGACGAACCAGGCUUCGGCCUGGGGCAAAGCCGCGAACGGGUGAGUAACACGUGGGUAAUCUGCCCCGAUGACUGGGACAACCCGAGGAAACUCGGGCUAAUACCGGAUGUGGUGCCUGGACAUAAGUCUGGUCACUAAAGGUAGCUUCGGCUUCCGCAUUGGGAGGGGCCCGCGGCCCAUUAGCUUGUUGGUGGGGUCAAGGCCUACCAAGGCAACGAUGGGUAGCUGGUCUGAGAGGACGAUCAGCCACACUGGGACUGAGACACGGCCCAGACUCCUACGGGAGGCAGCAGUGGGGAAUCUUGCGCAAUGCGCGAAAGCGUGAUGCAGCAACACCGCGUGAGGGAAGACGGCCUUAGGGUUGUAAAACCCCUUUCAGACUGGGACGAAGGUGAUGCGGUGAAUAGCCGAUGUCAUUGACGGUACCGUCAGAAGAAGCUCCGGCUAAACUCGUGCCAGC
rnacentral:rRNA from 1 species